AUGGAUAUUUUCAAAUUGCCUGCUUGAUCUCGAAAGAGUCAAGUAAAUCCUCUCUAAUUGCUGGGACAUCUCAAUGAGACAAUCAGCAGCGAAGCUUUCCAGAAAUGGAUUGAACGUUCAACGACUAUCCGGUUACGCGGAGUACACUCAAGCGAGUGGAAAUGGGAGGGACCUGACCACCUAGGGUGAAGGUUAAGAUAUAGUCUGGUCUGCAUGGUGACAUGCAG
rnacentral:ncRNA from 1 species